GGCGAAAUGGCCGAGUGGUUAAGGCGUUAGUUUUAGGCACUAAUAUCUUCG
rnacentral:tRNA from 1 species